rnacentral:lncRNA from 1 species
AGAGGAAAAGACUCCAGGUUCAUCCUAAUGUGAAUAUAUAAGCAGGCCUCGUCUCAUCUGAAUAGAGCGCAGACCUAUGGGACCACGCAGAGUGAGGGGAUGAGACCCCUGCACUCAAGACUUUGCAGUCCUAUUGGGGACCAGGUGGAAAACGUUAUGGAACAUGUGGAGACAGAGGAAAACCAAGCCCAUGCCUGCAGGGGAAGUGCAGGCUAGGGGAGAGCUGCGCCGGGAUUUUCAGGGAAGGAUUCGUGCGGGCAGUGGGAACGAGUUGGGCCCCAGAGGAUGAGUGAGGCCUAGGUAGGGGGGGAAGAAAUCCUGGAAGCUGGUAUGAGUGUGCGUGCGUCUGAAGCGGGGUUUGCCGGGGAUGUUUGGCUCUGAAGGAGAAGGAUAGCCACUUGUUGAGCUUCCCAUGUGACAGGCCCUGCAAUGAUGUGUGUUAACCCACCCCACGCUUACCACAGCCCUGAGUCGGGUCUCAUCAUGUUCAUUUUGCAGAUGAUAAAACCAAGGUUCAGAAAGGCUUGAGUCAUGCGGUCCAGAAGGAAAAGUAAUGGGACUCAAAUUCAUGUUGGCUUCCAAAGCCCCUGCUCUCAGUCCUACCUCUCAGGACCCACCUGGGGGAAGACGGGAGUGUGGUGUUGAGUGGAAACAAUAUGGCUGCCCAGAGGGGGUGAAGUGUCAAUAUGGGAGAUACAAGAGAGGGCAGAAAAUUCCAUCCUUACCUCAGGAGGCCGUAGAGAGUCGUGGUUCCUGUCAUCCUCACUGGCUUUGUUUUGCAGCUGAGAGACUGAAUAUACAAAUGGGCAAUGGCCAGAUCAGAUAUAAAAAUAGAAUUCAGACCCACAGUCUACAGCACCCAGCCCAGGAAACCAGCUCAUGACCUACUGUUACCAGCCCAGGAAGCAGGUCUGCUGCAGAUCAGACUCGCACAAGUCAGAUCACUGUGUAUAGUAACAAUCCACGAAGCCAGACAAUAACCUCUGCACGAUGCCCCCAAAUGGCCAGGAGUUAAUUAAUAAUGGACAGCUUCCUUGAUUUUCUUCCCUGAUUCCAAUGUAGGACCAACCAGAGAAAGUCAAAUAUGAACCUCUAAUUAUUUAUAUAGGAUGUCAUGCUUCUAGUUAGCCCACCUCCAUGUAGGUGCCUCCACCCUAUGCCAACAACCUCCCAUCAGGGUGAGCUUGAAGCCUUCCCUCUUUGCCAUUUAAAGCUUUCCCACUUAUCUGCCUGCCUUUGAUUCUCUGCCAAAAUGUAAAAGAUAGUGGCCGACUCCCUUGGUGUAUAUAUAGCAAGCUCUGAAUAAAUAGCCUUGGCUUCUCUCAUUUGGUUGGUCUGCAUUUAUUUCCACAUGCCAUACAACUAGCACGUGUGAAUUUGGAGGUAAGAACAUGUUCUACACUCUUGGACCAAGACAAAUUUCGUCUCACGUGAUUGGAUCAGAGGGACAACACUGUGGCCUCAUGAAGCCCCAAAGCCUUCUUGGUUCCUGUCUUUGUGGAGUGCGGGUGACUUCUCUAGGAGCAGGAGAUGACUGUGAUGAAAUAGUGACUAAGUUCUAUUUGAAUUUGAAUUAGCUAUGGCACAAAUGGGUGGAACAGAAAAGAAGUAAUUAGUAAAGACAAAUGGGAAAAG